rnacentral:rRNA from 1 species
CGAACCCACUGUCGUUGAAAAGCCAGGGGAUGACUUGUGGAUAGGGGUGAAAGGCUAAUCAAGCCUGGUGAUAGCUGGUUCUCCCCGAAAGCUAUUUAGGUAGCGCCUCGGACGAAUACCAUUGGGGGUAGAGCACUGUUUCGGCUAGGGGGUCAUCCCGACUUACCAAACCGAUGCAAACUCCGAAUACCAAUGAGUACUAUCCGGGAGACAGACUGCGGGUGCUAACGUCCGUAGUCAAGAGGAAAACAAUCCAGACCGCCAGCUAAGGCCCCAAAAUUAUAGUUAAGUGGGAAACGAUGUGG